GACGAACGCUGGCGGCGCGCCUAACACAUGCAAGUCGAACGAGCGAGAGAGAGCUUGCUUUCUCAAGCGAGUGGCGAACGGGUGAGUAACGCGUGAGGAACCUGCCUCAAAGAGGGGGACAACAGUUGGAAACGACUGCUAAUACCGCAUAAGCCCACAGGUCGGCAUCGACCAGAGGGAAAAGGAGCAAUCCGCUUUGAGAUGGCCUCGCGUCCGAUUAGCUAGUUGGUGAGGUAACGGCCCACCAAGGCGACGAUCGGUAGCCGGACUGAGAGGUUGAACGGCCACAUUGGGACUGAGACACGGCCCAGACUCCUACGGGAGGCAGCAGUGGGGAAUAUUGCACAAUGGGGGAAACCCUGAUGCAGCGACGCCGCGUGGAGGAAAAAGGUCUUCGGAUUGUAAACUCCUGUUGUUGAGGAAGAUAAUGACGGUACUCAACAAGGAAGUGACGGCUAACUACGUGCCAGCAGCCGCGGUAAAACGUAGGUCACAAGCGUUGUCCGGAAUUACUGGGUGUAAAGGGAGCGCAGGCGGGAAGACAAGUUGGAAGUGAAAUCUAUGGGCUCAACCCAUAAACUGCUUUCAAAACUGUUUUUCUUGAGUAGUGCAGAGGUAGGCGGAAUUCCCGGUGUAGCGGUGGAAUGCGUAGAUAUCGGGAGGAACACCAGUGGCGAAGGCGGCCUACUGGGCACCAACUGACGCUGAGGCUCGAAAGUGUGGGUAGCAAACAGG
rnacentral:rRNA from 1 species